CCUACGGGUGACAGCAGUGGGGAAUAUUGCACAAUGGGCGAAAGCCUGAUGCAGCAACGCCGCGUUAAGGAAGAAGGGUUUCGGCUCGUAAACUUCUAUCAACAGGGACGAAAGAAAUGACGGUACCUGAAUAAGAAGCCCCCGCUAACUACGGGCCAGCAGCCGCUGUAAUACGUAGGGGGCAAGCGUUAUCCGGAAUUACUGGUUGUAAAGGGUGAUUAGGCUGCAUGGUAAGCCAGCUGUUAAAGCCUUUGGCUUAACCCGAGGAUUGCAUUUGAAACUAUCAAGCUAGAGUACAGGAGAGGAAAGCGGAAUUCCUAGUGUAGCGGUGAAAUGCGUAGAUAUUAGGAAGAACACCAGUGGCGAAGGCGGCUUUCUGGACUGAAACUGACGCUGAGGCACGAAAGCGUGGGGAGCGAACAGGAUUAGAUACCCUUGUAGUC
rnacentral:rRNA from 1 species